rnacentral:rRNA from 1 species
GCAAGUCGAGCGAAGCUUUUCAGUAGUUUACUACAGAAAAUGACUGAGCGGCGAACGGGUGAGUAACGCGUGAGUAACCUACCUUAGUUACUGGGAUAGCCCGAGGAAACUCGGAUUAAUACCGGAUAUUCUUAUUUAAUCACAUGAUUUUUUAAGGAAAGGUCAGCCGAACUAAGAUGGGCUCGCGUUCUAUCAGCUAGUUGGUAGGGUAACGGCCUACCAAGGCUACGACGGAUAGCUGGUCUGAGAGGACGAUCAGCCACACUGGGACUGAGACACGGCCCAGACUCCUACGGGAGGCUGCAGCAGGGAAUAUUGUGCAAUGAACGAAAGUUUGACACAGCGACACCGCGUGUGGGAUGACGGAUCUAGGUUUGUAAACCACUUUCAGGAGGGAAGAAAAUGACGGUACCUCCACAAGAAGCCCCGGCCAACUACGUGCCAGCAGCCGCGGUAAUACGUAGGGGGCGAGCGUUGUCCGGAUCUAUUGGGCGUAAAGAGCUCGUAGGCGGUUCAACAAGUCGGUCGUGAAAGUUCAGGGCUCAACCCUGAAAUGUCGAUCGAUACUGUUGUGACUAGGAUACGGCAGAGGUGAGUGGAAUUCCGAGUGUAGCGGUGAAAUGCGUAGAUAUUCGGAGGAACACCAAUUGCGAAGGCAGCUCACUGGGCCGCUAUCGACGCUGAGGAGCGCACGCUAGGGGAGCAAACC